GACGAACGCUGGCGGCGUGCUUAACACAUGCAAGUCGAACGGUGAACGAGGGAGCUUGCUCCCUCCGGAUCAGUGGCGAACGGGUGAGUAACACGUGAGCAAUCUGCCCCGAACUCUGGGAUAAGCGUUGGAAACGACGUCUAAUACCGGAUACGACGCGGGAGGGCAUCCUCUCCGCGUGGAAAGAACUUCGGUUCGGGAUGAGCUCGCGGCCUAUCAGCUUGUUGGUGAGGUAACGGCUCACCAAGGCGACGACGGGUAGCCGGCCUGAGAGGGUGGCCGGCCACACUGGGACUGAGACACGGCCCAGACUCCUACGGGAGGCAGCAGUGGGGAAUAUUGCACAAUGGGCGCAAGCCUGAUGCAGCAACGCCGCGUGAGGGACAACGGCCUUCGGGUUGUAAACCUCUUUUAGCAGGGAAGAAGCGAAAGUGACGGUACCUGCAGAAAAAGCACCGGCUAACUACGUG
rnacentral:rRNA from 1 species